CUAUCCUUUCAAUAAACUGGCUCUUUCAAGCUCCGGCCCCAGGAGAGAGAGGCUCUGACCCCACCGUCCGAGGACUGAGGGGCCUGGGGACCGUCAGCAAGCCGCCUCGCUCUCCUGCCAUCGCGCUCCCUCCCAUCCUCCUGCCCUCACUUUUCCUCUCUUUCCGGCUCCCUGGGCUCCCUCGGAGGUGCAGGGUCCUGAACCUGCCGCCGGGCGUGGACGGGGGGGACCGAGCCCGCAGGGGAAGUCUGGGGACUGAGGAGGGGACGGAGGUGUCCCCGUAAGUUCCAUCCCGCAACUCACCGGCCGGCGCCGCCCAAAGAAAGUAAGGCGGGAGCUGAGCCAGGACGGCGAGAACCAGCGCAGCGCCCACCGUAGUCGCCAUGGGUACGGAGCUCCGGAGCCCGGGAGGCCCCGGUCGUGGGCAGAAACUUUAAAGCCGGAUCCGCCCGGCGCCGCGCUCUCGCUCCUGCGGAUUGGGAGCCCCGCGCCUCGGGUCUGACGCUCCACAGCGGCGGCUCAGUGCAGCCCCGCCCGCUCCUUUACCCCUGGGCUGCGCGGGCCGCGUGUCUUCGCAGAGACGUCAGUGGGAUCACCGCCCGUGCAGGUCCUCGCCUGGGUUCCAGGUCCUGGGACAUCGCGAGGCCCGGGCGGGUCCCCAGAGACUUCCGCAGCCUCCUCGCCGCCGCCUUCUGCCCUCCUCCCGGCGCUUACCGCAGAAGACGAACCCAACGUUGAGGAUACAGUGGGCGCCUCCAGCCGGGGAAGCUGGCGAUCUAAGUCCGAGAGCUGUCACUAAAUCAUCCCGGCUGGCCUGGAACUUGCGAACCCGGGAUCACAGGCAGGUGUUGCAGCGCCUGGCAAUGAUUAACUUCUUAAAGUUGCCUUUGGUCACUUUCAUUGUUACCUUGAGGUGCAAUCAUUUCAACAUCCAUCCAACACCAGAUACCAACUGCUGACCCCAGGUCCUCCAUUCUGUUCAGUAAGAUAAAUCCCAGAGUUCAACCCCUGACCCAUCUCCCUCACAGUUUGCCCGGUAAAACAGACCCUAAAUUCCUGAGUGCCCAAGCUGACACACUCAUUAAGGAUCCUCUCAGUACAACCUCCAUAAGCCCAGUCCCCUCCUUUGUUCAUGGCCCAUUUUCCACCAGGAGAAUGGGUCCAGCAGUGUCACCCAAUUCCGUCCCCCCACCUGAUCCUGCAUGAGACUUU